CCUACGGGUGGCAGCAGUGGGGAAUAUUGCACAAUGGGGGAAACCCUGAUGCAGCGAAGCCGCGUGAAGGAAGAAGUAUUUCUGUAUGUAAACUUCUAUCAGCAGGGAAGAAAAGGACGAUACCUGACCAAGAAGCCCCGUCUAACUACGUUCCAGCAGCCGCGGUAAUACGUAGGGGGCAAGCGUUAUCCGGAUUUACUGAGUGUAAAGGGAGCGUAGGCGGUGAUGCAGGUCAGAAGUGAAAGCCCGCAGUUAAAUUGCGGGACUGCUUUUGAACCGGUAUGACUAGAUUGCAGGAGAGGUAAGUGGAAUUCCUAGUGUAGCGGUGAAAUGCGUAGAUAUUAGGAGGAACACCAGUGGCGAAGGCGGCUUACUGGACUGUAAAUGACGCUGAGGCUCGAAAGCGUGGGGAUCAAACAGGAUUAGAGACCCUAGUAGUC
rnacentral:rRNA from 1 species